rnacentral:rRNA from 1 species
AUGUUGGAUCCCUUGGAAGUCAAAGCAAAUUAUUGUGACAAGGAAGGGUAUGAGCAAGCAGCAUUUGCAUCGAAGACAGAUUUGCGUGUCAGGGCCAUCUCUGCUAUGAACCUGUAUCUCCGGGUCAACCACAUUUAUGUUAACUCGGAUGAUAUAAAGGGGACUGGCUAUACUUACAUCACGCCAAAGAAUAUAUUGAAGAAUUUGAUAUGCAUAGCAGAUCUACGGACACAGGUUGCAGGUUUCCUGUAUGGGCUGAGUCCACAGGAUAAUCCUCAAGUCAAGGAGAUGAGAUUAUCCAUUCCGCCACAGCAUGGAAGUCACCAAAUGGUGAAUUUGCUAGCGAAUCUCCCAGAGCACGAGUUCCUUGCUGACUUGGAGCCAUUGGGAGCCAGCCGAAUGAAGCUCCUCAGGAUUUGGCAUGACAUGCUAGAAUUUUGGAGAAGAACAAGGCGUGGCAUGGUGAAAAGUGCAUCAUUUUGA